rnacentral:rRNA from 1 species
GACGAGCCACACGAACGUUAUUCGGAAUUACUGGGCUUAAAGGGUGCGUAGGCGGUGCGGAAAGUUGGGUGUGAAAUCCCUCGGCUCAACCGAGGAACUGCGCCCAAAACUACCGUACUUGAGGAAGAUAGAGGUGAGCGGAACUUACAGUGGAGCGGUGAAAUGCGUUGAUAUUGGGAGGAACACCAGUGGCGAAGGCGGCUACCUGGACCGGUUCUGACGCUGAGGCGCGAAAGCGUGGGUAGCAAACAGG